CCUCCUCGGCUCGGGCCGCCGCCGCUUUGCCCUCCCUGUCCCGCCGCCACCGCGACAGGUAGCUGGUCACCCGUGUCCUGCCAGGAGCACAUGCCAGCGCCAGGGACAUCCCAGGAUGCUUGAGGACAGAAUGUCACCUGAAUGAGCUACUCCCUACACUAACCAGAAGGUGACUGGACAAUUUACUGUGUACUUAUUGAAAGGAAGGCUAAAGAAUCAUUUUUGUUGUCAGGAGUAGCUUAUGGGAAAAACUUCAGUGUUCUACAGCUGGAUCAGCCCUUCCCUUCUGUUCCCAGACUUCAGUCCCAUCAUGCAGGAGGACCACAGGUGGAGGUACAGCCUGGGGAGCCCCAGCAAGAGGUGAGGCACUUCUAAACCUGAGGCACAAAUGUGCCAAACAGGAGGAUCAUGCACUGCUCAGCAAGAUGAUAAGAAAGGAGUUUAUCAGUACAGGAACUUGACCAUCUGAGUGGUGAGAGAAUCAUUGAAUGCUAAGAGAAAUUACUUUGGUUGCUUACAAGUUUAACCUCUUUUUGUCACCAGCAUUGAGACCUAUGAAGCUGGUCCCUUUCUAGGGCAUCUUUACAGAGACACAGAGAUACAGUGGAGAGGAUCCAAUGUAAAAGAAAAAAACAAAUAAAACAAACAGUGCAAGCAAGA